AAACCAUGGUGAGGACAUCUCCUGAAAAGAUCCUUGAACCUUUCAUGGGCUUCAAAGAGUGUUUCUGAAUUAGCUUGCCUAAAAGCAAAAAUCUUUUGUCUCAGUUU